UGGGGAAUAUUGCGCAAUGGGGGCAACCCUGACGCAGCAACGCCGCGUGAUUGAAGAAGGCCUUCGGGUUGUAAAGAUCUUUAAUCGGGGACGAAUUUUGACGGUACCCGAAGAAUAAGCUCCGGCUAACUACGUGCCAGCAGCCGCGGUAAUACGUAGGGAGCAAGCGUUAUCCGGAUUUACUGGGUGUAAAGGGCGUGUAGGCGGGCAUGCAAGCCAGAAGUGAAAUCUGGGGGCUUAACCCCCAAACUGCUUUUGGAACUGCGUGUCUUGAGUGAUGGAGAGGCAGGCGGAAUUCCCAGU
rnacentral:rRNA from 1 species